rnacentral:rRNA from 1 species
CCUACGGGAGGCAGCAGUGAGGAAUAUUGGUCAAUGGACGAGAGUCUGAACCAGCCAAGUAGCGUGAAGGAUGACUGUCCUACGGGUUGUAAACUUCUUUUAUAUGGGAACAAAACGAUCCACGUGUGGGACUUUGUAUGUACCAUAAGAAAAAGGAUCGGCUAACUCCGUGCCAGCAGCCGCGGUAAUACGGAGGAUCCGAGCGUUAUCCGGAUUUAUUGGGUUUAAAGGGGGCGCAGGCGGAUGGGUAAGUCAGAGGUAAAAUUUUGGGGCUAAACCCAGUAAUGCAGUUGAAAAUGCAUGUUUUGAGUGCGCGAGAAGUAGGCGGAAUGCGUGGUGUAGCGGUGAAAUGCAUAGAUAUCACGAAGAACUCCGAUUGCGAAGGCAGCAUACAGGCGUGCAACUGACGUUCAUGCACGAAAGUGUGGGUAUCGAACAGGAUUAGAUACCCUUGUAGUC